rnacentral:rRNA from 1 species
ACACGUAGGUAACCUGCCCAUGUGCCCGGGAUAACUUCUGGAAACGGAUGCUAAAACCGGAUAGGUAGCAGACAAGCAUUUGACUGCUAUUAAAGUGGCUAAGGCCAUGAACAUGGAUGGACCUGCGGUGCAUUAGCUAGUUGGUGAGGUAACGGCCCACCAAGGCGACGAUGCAUAGCCGGCCUGAGAGGGCGGACGGCCACAUUGGGACUGAGACACGGUCCAAACUCCUACGGGAGGCAGCAUG